CGGGGGGAGCAAGUCGUUGUUCGGAUUUACUGGGCGUAAAGGGCGCGUAGGCGGCGCAACAAGUCACUUGUGAAAUCUCCGGGCUUAACCCGGAGCGGCCAAGUGAUACUGUCGUGCUAGAGUGCGGAAGGGGCUACUGGAAUUCUCGGUGUAGCGGUGAAAUGCGUAGAUAUCGAGAGGAACACCUGCGGCGAAGGCGGGUAGCUGGGCCGACACUGACGCUGAGGCGCGAAAGCCAGGGGAGCGAACGGGAUUAGAUACCCCGGUAGUCCUGGCCUUAAACGAUGGAUACUUGGUGUCCGGGGUUACAUAGUCCCCGGGUGCCGGCGCUAACGCAUUAAGUAUCCCGCCUGGGGAGUACGGUCGCAAGACUG
rnacentral:rRNA from 1 species